CAUUGAUGUGCCAAUGAGGAAGGAGGCACAGAACUACAUGCGUAGGCGUAUUUGGCCCGUUUCACUUCUGCACAUUCUGGUUCUACAUAAGCGUGCACCCACUAAAGAUGGCUAAACAGGACAUCUUUCUUUCCUCUGCUGCUGGAACAGUCAAUUGUAUGGUGGGUGGUUGGGUGUAAUCCGGUUAGGCUGCUGCAGCGGUCUCAUAUGAAUACAUUCUCAGUUCUAGGCCUUGAUACUGUCUCGCUGGUAAUUUGCUGCUGUUGCCGGAAAGUCUGUUUCAUGUCGUGGAGGAGGAAGACCCUGUGUCAUGUGAUCCACGAGGACGUACCUGCGGCUGCUACUGCGGCUGCUCUCCCGUUGCUCUGGAAGGGGUUGGUGGCGGCAGCCGGGGGGGCAGCGGCA